rnacentral:rRNA from 1 species
UACGUAGGGCGCAAGCGUUAUCCGGAAUUAUUGGGCGUAAAGAGCUCGUAGGCGGUUUGUCGCGUCUGCCGUGAAAGUCCGGGGCUCAACUCCGGAUCUGCGGUGGGUACGGGCAGACUAGAGUGAUGUAGGGGAGACUGGAAUUCCUGGUGUAGCGGUGAAAUGCGCAGAUAUCAGGAGGAACACCGAUGGCGAAGUCAGGUCUCUGGGCAUUAACUGACGCUGAGGAGCGAAAGCAUGGGGAGCGAACAGG